rnacentral:rRNA from 1 species
AGUCGAACGAGAGAGAAGGAGCUUGCUUCUUCGAUCGAGUGGCGAACGGGUGAGUAACGCGUGAGGAACCUGCCUCAAAGAAGGGGACAACAGUUGGAAACGACUGCUAAUACCGCAUAAGCCCACGGGUCGGCAUCGACCUGAGGGAAAGGGAGUGAUCCGCUUUGAGAUGGCCUCGCGUCCGAUUAACUAGUUGGUGAGGUAAUGGCCCACCAAGGCGACGAUCGGUAGCCGGACUGAGAGGUUGAACGGCCACAUUGGGACUGAGACACGGCCCAGACUCCUACGGGAGGCAGCAGUGGGGAAUAUUGCACAAUGGGGGAAACCCUGAUGCAGCGACGCCGCGUGGAGGAAGAAGGUCUUCGGAUUGUAAACUCCUGUUGUUGAGGAAGAUAAUGACGGUACUCAACAAGGAAGUGACGGCUAACUACGUGCCAGCAGCCGCGGUAAAACGUAGGUCACAAGCGUUGUCCGGAAUUACUGGGUGUAAAGGGAGCGCAGGCGGGAAGACAAGUUGGAAGUGAAAUCUAUGGGCUCAACCCAUAAACUGCUUUCAAAACUGUUUUUCUUGAGUAGUGCAGAGGUAGGCGGAAUUCCCGGUGUAGCGGUGGAAUGCGUAGAUAUCGGGAGGAACACCAGUGGCGAAGGCGGCCUACUGGGCACCAACUGACGCUGAGGCUCGAAAGUGUGGGUAGCAAACAGGAUUAGAUACCCUGGUAGUCCACACCGUAAACGAUGAUUACUAGGUGUUGGAGGAUUGACCCCUUCAGUGCCGCAGUUAACACAAUAAGUAAUCCACCUGGGGAGUACGACCGCAAGGUUGAAACUCAA